rnacentral:lncRNA from 1 species
UUGUAUCAGCUCUGUGCGGUCACAUGGGUAUCUACAAAUCAAAGCACCCAUCAACCAGAUGCAUCUCUGAGAGUUAACAGCAGAAGGUGGCAUAAUAAAAGAAGUUCUCGGUAGUGAAAAAGGGCCAUGCUGGAUAAGGAGCUGGCUGCCUCUGUGAACAUCCUACUCAAGGCAUCUUCACUGCUGUACAUCCUUUUGAAAUCCCAGAGAUCUUCAGUCUCCCUGUGGAUUAAGGAGAUGUGCAGUAUUUAAAGUGGCUUCAGGAAGGCAUGGAAGAGGACUGAGUGGGGAAAGCUUUUUGUGCAUGCUGCUGGCUACCUCCAGCGGCUGCCUCCAGCCUCCAUCAGCUGCACUCUGGGGAAGAGGAGGCUGCCUUCUACCUCCCAGCAUCUCUGGAUUUCAUGUUCCUGUCAGCACAGAGGAGCUAAAUGGCCUGUAGAGGCUGAAGGUCUGAGGCUCCUAAAGCUGGAAGAAAAGGCUGGGCCAGUCAGGCCAAGCAAGAACACAGUGUAACUUGUCUCUGAGUGCUUCAUGGUUAAGGGGGCUAAGCAGGCACAAGGGCAUGAGGAUGGUUAUAUGUACAGACUGAGGGGAAGAAGCAGUGAAGAUGAGACUUGCCAUCUUCUUGAGUCAGUAGGCCUGCCUCAGGUGCCUAGGAUGUAAUUGCUCUGCUGCUUCUCAUGGGGAGGAGUGGCCCUCAUGACCUUGUUUACCUGGAAGAGUGUGGGAUGAAUGCCUCCUCCUAUGGGGACUCGCAAGUGCUUUAGCAAAAGGAUAAAUUGCUAAUUGUGGCAUUUCGUGGAUCAGCAGGAUUAUUUCUCCUUGCUAAAGAGGAUUUUGUUGGUCCUGAAUUCUGAGGAGGUGGGACUAGGAAUGGGCUCCAUGAGCCUGUGUAUGACUCAGGGAAUAUUA